UCAAAGUUUAGCCCAAAGGAGGAGAAAGAAGGCGAUAGAAAAUGGUGGCUACUGCGGUGUGUUGGGUCUUGUGAGCGGAGCUUGUCUUUUCAAGCUGACCAGACAGGGCUCUGUUUACAUCAGCAGAUGUAAGACCUUUAGCAUUGAAAAUGGGUAGGUCAAAGUCACCGUCUCAUUCAUCAAGAUCAAACUCAAGGUCUCGAUCAUCCUCAAGAUCAAGAUCACCUUCAAGGAAAAAAAGAUACAGUUCCAGGUCACGUUCCAGAACAUAUUCUAGAUCUCGUAGUAGAGAACGCAGAGAUUUUCGCAGAGAUUACAGAAACAAUAGAGGUGUACGUCGCCCUUAUGGCUUUAGAGGAAGAACAAGAGGCUAUUAUCAAGGAGGUGGCAGGUAUUAUCGAGGUGGUUAUAGACCCAUGUGGAACCGAAGAUACUCUCGAAGUCCAAGGCGUGGUCGUUCACGCUCCAGGAGUCCAAAAAGGCGGUCCGCAUCAUCUCCGCGAUCUAGGAGUCGAUCAGGGCACUCUUACAAAUCAUCUCCAUCUCCAAGGUCCUCUUCUUCCCGCUCUUCCUCAAAACACAGCAAGUCUCCAGUAAUAAAAAUUCACACAACCCAGGAUAAACCGGGACAAAAGACAGAAGACUAUAAUAAAUCAGAAAGCCCUGCAAAUAAGUCAUGUGAUGAACAGAAGGAUGCAUUUGACCCUUCUGAACCCCUUGAUGAACUUGGUAAAGAAUUAGAUCUUCAUGGUGACACCUGGGCAGGUCUCUCAGCAUAUGAUAAUAGCCCAAGGUCGCCCUGUAGUCCAUCUCCUGUGACAUCACCACCCAGCCACAGUUCUUCCCACUCUGCCUGUCCUGUCAUGAACGUGGUUCGCUGUGCCAAAGACACACUUUCUGAGAAUAUACAUUCCAUUGUUCAUAGUCCAGAAAUAUCUGGUUCUGGAGGAAACGGUUUAAAACGCUACAGUCCUUCACAGAACAGCCCACUUCAGAUGUCUACAUGUAAAAGCCCAGCAAAGUCUGUUCUUAUUCAGAACCCUCUGGAGGAAAGCCAUUACCAUUAUUCAUUUUACGCAGACACCACUAAGGAGCAUGCAAAUAAUACCAAGUUUUUUGACAGGUAUACAGAUGAAGAAAAUAAGUUGUUUCCUAUUGAAAAAUGCAUUAACAAGGAAAAGGGAACCUGUAAAGAAAGAGGGACUGAAAAAACAAAGAAAGGCAGCAGCAAUGUUUGGGAUGAGCAUGUUGCUUUAGAUUAUUUUUUGGAGAAAGAGCCUGGCAAUUCCCAGUUUUUGGCUAACUCUAAUAGUGAGGAUUUAGAGGAGGCAGAGGACUAUAGACAGUUUAGAAAGUCAGUCCUUGCAGACCAGGGUAAGUCACUGUCAUCUGUAUCUAACUGGAAUUGCGAAGAAGAGGAUUCAAAGUACAAGACCAAGGGUUUGACAAGAUUUUCUAAAGAGGGUGAAAAGUUUAAGGUGGUAAGAGGUAGUAAAAGUGCAGAGCAAGUUGCAAAAGAAAAGCACAAAGAUAAAGUCACUCAGAGGCAUUCUGUUAUGAAAGAUCUACUGUCAUCUGAUGAGCUGAAGAUAGAAAAGACUAAAGACCUUUUCAGUUACAAUCUUACUUUACAUGAAAGUAAUGUAAUAGAGAAGAACAUUUUCAGGGAGGAAAGCCCUGUAAAAAUGAGAAUUGUAGCCACUGAAUCUCCACUCCCUGAAGUCAAACUUCGAAUUAUCACAGUCCCACUUGAUGACGGCAGGGCACCCUGUCUGGAUAAUGAAAGACUUCUAGGCAGUACUCUUAUUCAUUCUGUUAAGAAAGUACAAGCCUUCCGAACCAUCUUUGACCAUCUAAAGGUUCCCUUCACCAGCAGAACAUCUCCGGAAUCCUUUAUGUAUCAUGUUGUGUCUUUAGUUCAUCAUGUAAAAGAGCAUUACUUCAAGGGUUGCGGAAAGACUCUCAAUGAGAGAUUUACAGACUGUCUGAAAGACACAUUGGACCAUGUCAGCCACCUAAGGAGGCCUGAGAUACAUAGGGUGAUAGAUAUUCCUCCUAAUAUUCCAAAGAAGCACAUUCGAAUUCAAGAUGAAGACAAAGCUAUAAAGAAAGAGACGGCAAAGGUUGAGAAAAAGAAAAAGAGUAGUUUGUCUGAUCAGCGAUGUGAUGUCCAACACAAAAAAGAGCAUAGUAAAGAACGUGUAGACCUCACAUGCUCCAGGGAAUCCAGCAACUCUCAAAAGAAAGAAAAGCCACAAAAAGAAUUAAAGGAGUUUAAAAUCUUCAAGGAAGAAAGCAAAAAUGUAUUUGUCUUUUACACGGCUUAUGGUGGAUGAGGACAAAAACUUUGGAAUAGCAAGCUUACUGAAAAAAAAUGACAAAUUGUGUCCUAUUGUCCAGGAAACAUCAGGAAGUUGGACUUAAGUGCAGUGCAUUUCUAGAAAUGUUAAACGUAAAAAGGAUUUGGGACCACCACAUUCUCCUUCAUCUGGUAGUUCUCACGAAGAAAAAUAUUUAAAGAAAGAGAGUGAGGAAAUGUUUAAAGACCCUCCAGAGGCCAAAGAAUAUUCUGGAUUUGCAGGAAUUGGCAGGACUAGAGGGACAUUGUUCCGCAUUAGAGGCAGAGCCCGUGCUCGAGGGGUGUUUGCUGGAGCAUGUACUGGUACUGUGAAUACAACCACAACUUUCCAGAAACGGCCUAAAGAAGAAGAGUGGGACCCAGAAUAUACUCCUAAAAGCAAGAAGUAUUUCCUGCAUGAUGAUCGAGAUGAUGGGGUUGAUUAUUGGGCAAAGAGAGGAAGAAGCCGAGGGAACUUCCAGCGUGGCAGAAGUCGUUUUCCUUUUAAAAAAUCAGGCACCAGUCCUAAAUGGACACAUGAUAAAUAUCAAGGUGAUGAUCUUUUAGAGGAUGAAGAAGAAAUAAUGGAAGAAAGAAACAAAGAGGAAAAGGACUGAUUUUCAAAGAAAAGCAGAACUAAAAGUUAUGUAGUCUUUAUUUUAUUUAAUUGAAUGUGUGCAUUUUCUUUUUAUUUAGCUGGUGGAAAAUACUUGGACUGCAACACAUUUUUAAGAGACCUCAAUUUCUUCUCCAUUAUGCAAGAACUACACUGAAGAAAGCCCUAGCCAUUAUUAAAUAAAAAAAAAAGCCCUAGCCAUUAUUAAAUAAAAAAAAAGUAGAUUUUAAGAUGAUUUUAAGUUUUCAUGUUAAACUUAUUAUACUUAUCCAGAUAUAUGGAGAAGAUUAAUACUGUCUUUUUUUGUUUUUUUCUUUUAUCAGUAAAGUUUGUUUUCCUGUGUGUUCAA